rnacentral:lncRNA from 1 species
UGUUAUGUGUGAAUUUUGAUUCUGUCAUUAUGAUGUUAGCUGGUUAUUUUGCCUGCCAGUUGAUGAAGUUUCCAUUUCUUGUUCUAAAAUUCUUAAUUACCCCUGUAGAUAUCCCCAUCAAGAAACAGAAUCUAUUUCCCCACCUUUUAAAUAUGAGGUGUGGAGUGACCAUUAGCUUGAAAUGACCAAUGGGACAUCAGCAAGCAAACAAACCAAACCCCCAAACUUCUUGCCCUUAUUCUAAAUUUGAGAAAAUUGAGGUUCAGAAAGGUUUUGUAGCCUGCCCAAGGCCACACAGUUAAAAUGUGUUGGAGACAACUCAAACCCAAAUU